ensembl:lincRNA
UUAUAAUGUGUUGACAAGUUUUCUAACAGACUUUCUGAAAUAAUGCACAUAUAUUCACGUCGGCUAGAAACCCACCGUAUUUUUAGUAUUUUUAGAGUCGAGUAGAUCUAUACCCUAAUGCAGUGAGAGAGUGUAAAUCAUACAAGAUUUCAUAGUCCUUUCAGUAGUUUUCGGUAUGAAGUAUGAGCCGCGUGGCCUCCAGACGUAACCUUUUAGAAAAAAAGACAGUGCUUUUAUUUUAUGGUGUAAAGUGCUUUUAGCUCCAGGGCUCUGAACGUGAAUGUGGUCAACAAACAGCUCGAAGAGGGAGACUUAAUACACUCCCAGCCCUCGUGCCGAGGAUCGCCUGGCGCGGGGGACUCGGGCUGAGCUGGAGAAUGAAGGGUUAAAGGGUCUGUCUGGAUGGAAACUACAAGAUUAAAAUAAAAUAUUCACUGUCUGCCUUUAGGGGGAAACACCUUUAUAGACUUAAAGAUAAAUAAAUGAAUCAAUGACUGAGUGAUUGAAAACACAAUCAGCCCCACCUUGCUUUUUAAAUUCAUCCUUUUUCUUUCUUUUCUUUUCUUUUUCUUUUUUAUUUUCCUAAUCAGUCAACAGAUCAUAAAAUAGAGUCAUCUUCAUAAAAAUAAAGCCUAGGUUUUGGAUUCUGCACUUGGCAUAGGUUUUGCAUUUGGGGUUCUUGACAAUGGGAGUGCUAGGGUGUUAAGACAAAGGAAAAAUGAAUUUAAAAUAUUGGGGGUUGUACUUGAAGAAAAGGAUAGACUUCUUUUCCCUCCUCUACUACCGGUGUGACCCAGAGCCCAGAAGGCCCCUGGAGGGCAGUAUCUACUCCUCUGCAAAGGCACAGACUUCCCCCAAGGAGAUUCCUGGGAGAACCAUUAGUCUGGCAUCUUCUCCAGAAGCUUCCUGGGCCUUUAGCUGGCUGGAAGUCUGCUUCAUAUACCUGGAUGGACUCAUCCAAAGAAAAAGGAGAGAAAGGAAUGAAGGAAAAAGCUGCAUCUGCUCUAAGUACUCUCCUAGGCUGAGGUUUGCCUGUGAAAUGAAAUUUUCUCCAGAAACAGUUCUGUCUCUAAAAAGAAUGCAAAAGGAAUAUGAGAAGGGGAAGAAGAAAAAAAGGAGGAAAGCCUCUGAUGGAUUUCCAGGGGUUCAAAGCCUGAAAGACUGAUUUCCAUGGCAGCCUCGACCCCUAAAGUAAUGCCUGAGGAAUAUAUUUCCAAAGGCACACGCCUCGCAAAAAAAAAACACCAACAAAAUUCCUUGAGUGAGUCAAACUUCUGGAUCACCUAUUGCUGGAUUGAAUGAUUUUUUCAUCCUCCCUACCCCAAAGAAGAAUUUUGAGCAAUUCAAAUUAUAGGUAGUCCUGCUAAAAAGGGAAAAAUAAAUGUUCGUUUAAUAUGUUAAUCUGGUCUUUAGACCAAAAAAAAAAAAAAAAAGAUAUCCAUCUCUUCUACUUGCCCAUUACUGAUGUUAUCAACAUAUUCAUAGCUUUUCUUUCAGACACAAACUGCUAGGCAUGCUCCCUUUUUUGGUAACCACGUGCCUGAUAUCUCUCUAAUGUAGCCUAAUAACAAUUUUAGCAUUCAGAUGAAGCGAUUUCAUUCUGUGACUGCCUUUUCUAUUAGAUUUGAUUUUGAGAAGCCCCAGUGGGUGCCUUCGAGGCAGAGAUCUAUCUGUGAGGCUGCUACCGACUCAAUAGCAGCCUGGGCUAACCUUGACCUUUCCCGAGACCCCGCUCCAUCUGGUGCCAGCCUGCUUUCCACUCCGCCCCCCCUUCUUGCUUCAUAGUCAACAUUGAUCAAGGCAGAACGGAACGCCUCGUCUCCUGGAAGGGCUGGGCAGACUCAGGAGGACAGCACAUUUCAGUAUAUGGAAAUGAUCAAGCCUCUUAUGCAAUCAUAAAUCUACAUAGGAGUCUUGUGAUUUGAUAUUUCAUUCACCUCCAAAGAUUUUUUUUCUCCCUCCCAACAGGGAUUUAUAAGCUCUGUAAGAGCUCCCGGACAACGGCUUUCCCCAACACCUGGAAAUUAUCAAGCUUGCUGCUUGCUGAAUGAUGCUAACAGCUCUAACGCUGCAAAUUCAUUUUUAACAACUCACUGGCUUUUAUCUAGGAUUUGUGUGUGCGUGUGCGUGUGUGUGCGUGUGCACACGUGCCUUUCUUUAAGAAAAAUCUACCAAAGCAACGGAUGGUAUCAAAGAUACCAAAAUCAAAUCUGACUUGAAUAUCCCACAUCUCUACACCCAUCCCCAUUAUGUAGCUGUAAAUAAAUGUGUUUUUCUAUCUCUGUAUUCUGUCCCCUUUCUUAACCAUUAAGAGGGGAGAGAUAAAGAGGAAAGAGGAG